UAAGGAAUAUUGGUAAUGGGCGAAAGCCCGAACCAGCAACGCCGCGUGCGCGAUGAAGGCCUUCGGGUUGUAAAGCGCUUUUUAAGGGGAUGAGGAAGGACAGUACUCUUAGAAUAAGCCUCGGCUAACUACGUGCCAGCAGCCGCGGCAAAACGUAGGAGGCGAGCGUUGUCCGGAUUUACUGGGCGUAAAGCGUGUGUAGGCGGUUUGAUAAGUUGGAUGUGAAAGCUCCCGGCUCAACUGGGAGAGGUCGUUCAAAACUAUCAGACUUGAGAGUGGUAGAGGGAGGUGGAGUUCCGCAUGUAGUGGUGAAAUGCGUAGAUAUGCGGAGGAACACCAGUGGCGAAAGCGAUCUCCUGGCCCAUUUCUGACGCUCAGACACGAAAGCUAAGGUAGCAAACG
rnacentral:rRNA from 1 species